UGACAUAUCUGGUGACCUGUCAAUAUAAUGUCAGUUCAUUCCUGUAUUCGCGACAUAUGAUUACGUUCGACUUCACUGCAAUUCUUGCACUCCAGCACAGGUUAUUUCAUAAUUAUCAUUGUAACUUGUCGCAAUAUUGUAAAAAUUGAUAAACAAUUUUCAGUAAAAACAGGAUAACCUGAGUCUUCAUGAAAGAAGAAUGCCACCUGCUGUAAUUUAGACUUGCUGUCGAUACGUUUACGAAUUACGCUAAAAUGAACCCAAAAAUAUUGUGGUCACGAAUGAAAUCAAAUAUUGGAUUGGUAAAAAAACAAGAUGGGGAAUAACUGAGAUAUUCAGAAUUUGUUUAAAUUAUUGUACAUGAGUAUACGUAAUAAUUAUAUGUGUGGCUAACUAUGAUAUGAUAUGACUCGAAGGACCAGCUCUCUCGACUGAAAUGAUCAAUCUCGCGAGCAACACCAAAAUUGUCUAUAAUGGGUAGAUCACCUUAAUUAGCCGCAACGGAUGACCAAUUUUUCAUCAAAAAAAAAUGGGACACCAACAAGUCUUUAAUGUUAUGUUUAAUAACUCUAGUAUUUGGUACUACUUAUUAUUUACAAGAUGUAACUUCACAAAAUUCAGAGGCUAAAAUAAUCAGUAUGUUGAAAAUAAUUUGACGGCUUAUUUAAACUUACUGUUACAGGAGUGGUUAGAAACAUUGGGAACACAUAGACCAAAUAGCCAAAAAGCAAUUAUUUUUCUGUUGUUAACUUUCUUAAAUCUGAAUCCCAUGGAUUUUAAUACUCGAUGUAAAGUAUUUAAACUUGCUGUAUAUUCUGGAUGUUCUUUCGCAAAAAUAAACA